rnacentral:lncRNA from 1 species
GUUACACUCCAAGAUUAAAUAAACCAAAGAGAUCAAGAGACAAUAAGUUUGCUUUUUAGUAUAUUUUCAUUCCGUUUUCUGUUAUCUCAGUACAAUUAACAAACUAUAUAGAAUCUGUGAAUAUCACCUUUUUAUAUUGUUUUAAAACAGAAAAAUGAUAACUUCCCCCGCAUCUUGCUUUAUAUUUAUUACACCAUUUCUGCUUUUUUGUCAUUCCCAGUGCUCUUCUUCGAAUGUACUGAAAUAAGGCCCAUUGCUGCUUCGAGAAAGACAGGGUUGCAACAAGCUGAAACUUACUGCUACUUUACAUGAUAUUCUGCCUACUUUCUAUGAAAUGAGACUGAGAUUGGGGAAGAUUAAGCUCAUAUGGGAGCAGCAUAGCAAAAGAAAGGUAUUUCCAAGACUUGUCACUCCGAGGAAGGUUCAGCCUAUCAGUCACUCUUAGCAUCUCUGUGUGAGAACUAGUGGUUACUUCAAGUCACAGCCUGUUCUACAGAGUUGGCAAAACUAAUUGCAAGUGAAAGGCUACUGGAGGUUCUGGAAAUGCAUUUUGGACUGAGCUAUGAAUUCUAUCGAAUCUAUCGGGGUGCUACCCAGCCAUUAAUAAAGUAGCAUUUGUUUCUCUUUGUAUUUUGUCC